rnacentral:rRNA from 1 species
UACGUAGGGUGCGAGCGUUGUCCGGAAUUAUUGGGCGUAAGAGCUCGUAGGCGGUCUGUCGCGUCGGUCGUGAAAACUUGGGGCUUAACCCUGAGCUUGCGGUCGAUACGGGCAUGACUGGAGUUCGGCAGGGGAGACUGGAAUUCCUGGUGUAGCGGUGAAAUGCGCAGAUAUCAGGAGGAACACCGGUGGCGAAGGCGGGUCUCUGGGCCGAUACUGACGCUGAGGAGCGAAAGCGUGGGGAGCGAACAGG